GUUCACGCGAGGAGUUCUUGCACCUCCUUCUCCUCCUCCAUUGUACCUGUCGCACUGAGCAGUCGUCGUCGCCGUCGUGUUCGUCGCCGUCGCCGACGGUAAUCUCCACCCAGUGUGUGGUUGUAUCGUGUCAUGGUCGUUGUCGUCGGGCGUCUCGUCGCCGUAGUCUCGCCGGAGUUUCUGGCGCCACCUUUUUAUUUCGCAAGCGUCAGUGUCCA
rnacentral:misc_RNA from 1 species